CAAACACAAUACAUUUAAAAAAAAUGAACACCAACACUGCAAAACACGCUUCUUCACGGGAAUCACGUCCAUGGGAAGAUGACUUUGAAUGGGAGGCGACUGAAAUGGAUUCUUAUCUUGCAGGACACAUGAGUGGCCUGUCUUUCGCUGAAUCAGAAGACGAUGAUGAGGACUAUCUAUUCCUUACCUAACACAUCAAUCUGUUUUGUCACUUGUGAAAAAUAUCUAACAAGAUCAUUCUUAGUCUUAAAACAUCUCCAAGAUGAUCCAGUUUUAAGUAAAAGGCUGUUCCAGACAUUUUAAAAUACUGAUUUUAAUAAUGUGCAUUCAGUGUUUUCUUAAAAAAUAAAACAACAAAAUUACACUG